GACGAACGCUGGCGGCGUGCUUAACACAUGCAAGUCGAACGGAAAGGCGCUGCUUUUGUUGGGUGCUCGAUUGGCGAACGGGUGAGUAACACGUGAGUAACCUGCCCUUGACUUUGGGAUAACUUCAGGAAACUGGGGCUAAUAUCGGAUAUGAUCUCCUGCUGCAUGUGGGUGGUUGGAAAGUUUCGGCGGUGGUGGAUGGACUCGCGGGUUAUCCGCUUGUUUGGGGGGUAGUUGCUUACCAAGGCUUUGACGGGUAGCCCGCCUGAGAGGGUGACCGGCGACCUUGGGACUGAGAGACGCAGCAGUAUCGUAUGUGAGGCAGUAGUCGGGAACAUUGCAGAGUGGGGGGACGUCUGAUGCGGAAACGCCGGGUGCGUGAUGCUCGGUUUCGAGUUGUAAACAAAUUUCGAAUGAGACGAAGCGUGAGUGACGGUAAUGGGUAAAGAAGCACCGGCUAACUACGUG
rnacentral:rRNA from 1 species